UACGUAGGGUGCAAGCGUUGUCCGGAAUUAUUGGGCGUAAAGAGCUCGUAGGCGGUUUGUCGCGCCUGCUGUGAAAACCCGAGGCUCAACCUCGGGCCUGCAGUGGGUACGGGCAGACUAGAGUGCGGUAGGGGAGAUUGGAAUUCCUGGUGUAGCGGUGGAAUGCGCAGAUAUCAGGAGGAACACCGGUGGCGAAGGCGGGACUCUGGGCCGAUACUGACGCUGAGGAGCGAAAGCCAGGGGAGCAAACGGG
rnacentral:rRNA from 1 species